rnacentral:tRNA from 1 species
GCCCAUGUGAUGGAAUGGUAGACAUGCCGUGCUCAGAACGCGGUGCCUUAACAGGCGUGAGGGUUCGACUCCCUCUGUGGGCACUA